UGGGCUGAGGCUUAGUGGAAGAGUGCUUGCCUAGCAUGCAUGAGGCACUGGGUUCUAUCCUCAGCACCACAU
rnacentral:tRNA from 1 species